rnacentral:rRNA from 1 species
GACGAACGCUGGCGGCGUGCUUAACACAUGCAAGUCGAACGGAAAGGCCCUGCUUGCAGGGUACUCGAGUGGCGAACGGGGGUGUAAAACAUGGGUGUACUGCGCUGCACUUCGGGGUAUGCCUGGGAAACUGGGUCUAAUAUCGGAUAGGAGCCAUCCUUAGUGUGAUGGUUGGUUGGUUUUUUGCGUGUGGGAUGAGCUCGCGGCCUAUCAGGUUGUUGGUGGGGUAAUGGCCUACCAAGGAGGCGUUGGGUAGCCGGCCUGGGAGGGUGGACGGCCACAAUUGGACUGGGAUACGGCCCAGACUCCUACGGGGAGCCACAGGUGGGAAUAUUGCACAAUUGGCGCGAACCUGAUGCAACGACGCCGCGUGGGGGAUGAAGGCCUUCGGGGUGUUAACUCCUUUCGCUAGGGACGAAGCUGUUAGUGACGGUACCUAGAUAAGAAGCACCGGCUAACUACGUG